rnacentral:rRNA from 1 species
GGAGGGUGCAAGCGUUAUCCGGAUUCACUGGGUUUAGAGGGUGCGUAGGCGGGCAGGUAAGUCCGUGGUGAAAUCUCUGAGCUUAACUCAGAAACUGCCAUGGAUACUAUUUGUCUUGAAUAUUGUGGAGGUAAGCGGAAUAUGUCAUGUAGCGGUGAAAUGCUUAGAUAUGACAUAGAACACCAAUUGCGAAGGCAGCUUACUACACAGUUAUUGACGCUGAGGCACGAAAGCGUGGGGAUCAAACAGGAUUAGAUACCCUGGUAGUCCACGCCCUAGACGAUGAUUACUCGACAUCAGCGAUACACUGUUGGUGUCUGAGCGAAAGCAUUAAGUAAUCCACCUGGGAAGUACGAUCGCAAGAUUG